AUUGAACGCUGGCGGCAUGCUUUACACAUGCAAGUCGAACGGCAGCGCGGGCUUCGGCCUGGCGGCGAGUGGCGAACGGGUGAGUAAUGCAUCGGAACGUGCCCAGUAGUGGGGGAUAGCCCGGCGAAAGCCGGAUUAAUACCGCAUACGACCUGAGGGUGAAAGCGGGGGACCGAAAGGCCUCGCGCUAUUGGAGCGGCCGAUGUGGGAUUAGCUAGUUGGUGGGGUAAAGGCUUACCAAGGCGACGAUCCGUAGCUGGUCUGAGAGGGCGACCAGCCACACUGGGGCUGAGACACGGCCCAGACUCCGACGGGAGGCAGCAGUGGGGAAUUUUGGACACUGGGGGCAACCCUGAUCCAGCCAUGCCGCGUGCGGGAAGAAGGCCUUCGGGUUGUAAACCGCUUUUGUUCGGGAAGAAAUCCUCUGGGCUAAUACCCCGGGGGGAUGACGGUACCGGAAGAAUAAGCACCGGCUAACUACGU
rnacentral:rRNA from 1 species